rnacentral:rRNA from 1 species
UACGGGAGGCAGCAGUGGGGAAUAUUGCACAAUGGGCGCAAGCCUGAUGCAGCCAUGCCGCGUGUAUGAAGAAGGCCUUCGGGUUGUAAAGUACUUUCAGUCGUGAGGAAGGUGUUAAGGUUAAUAACCUUAGCAAUUGACGUUAGCGACAGAAGAAGCACCGGCUAACUCCGUGCCAGCAGCCGCGGUAAUACGGAGGGUGCGAGCGUUAAUCGGAAUUACUGGGCGUAAAGGGCACGCAGGUGGUUAUUAAGUUGGAUGUGAAAUCCCCGGGCUUAACCUGGGAAUGGCAUUCAAGACUGGUUAGCUAGAGUCUUGUAGAGGGGGUGAAUUCCAUGUGUAGCGGUGAAAUGCGUAGAGAUGUGGAGGAAUACCGGUGGCGAAGGCGGCCCCUGGACAAAGACUGACGCUCAUGUGCGAAAGCGUGGGGAGCGAAACAGGGAUUAGAUACC